AGAGUUUGAUCCUGGCUCAGGACGAACGCUGGCGGCGCGCCUAACACAUGCAAGUCGAACGAGAGAGAGGGAGCUUGCUUUCUUGAUCGAGUGGCGAACGGGUGAGUAACGCGUGAGGAACCUGCCUCAAAGAGGGGGACAACAGUUGGAAACGACUGCUAAUACCGCAUAAGCCCACGGGUCGGCAUCGACCAGAGGGAAAAGGAGCAAUCCGCUUUGAGAUGGCCUCGCGUCCGAUUAGCUAGUUGGUGAGGUAACGGCCCACCAAGGCGACGAUCGGUAGCCGGACUGAGAGGUUGAACGGCCACAUUGGGACUGAGACACGGCCCAGACUCCUACGGGAGGCAGCAGUGGGGAAUAUUGCACAAUGGGGGAAACCCUGAUGCAGCGACGCCGCGUGGAGGAAGAAGGUCUUCGGAUUGUAAACUCCUGUUGUUGAGGAAGAUAAUGACGGUACUCAACAAGGAAGUGACGGCUAACUACGUGCCAGCAGCCGCGGUAAAACGUAGGUCACAAGCGUUGUCCGGAAUUACUGGGUGUAAAGGGAGCGCAGGCGGGAAGACAAGUUGGAAGUGAAAUCCAUGGGCUCAACCCAUGAACUGCUUUCAAAACUGUUUUUCUUGAGUAGUGCAGAGGUAGGCGGAAUUCCCGGUGUAGCGGUGGAAUGCGUAGAUAUCGGGAGGAACACCAGUGGCGAAGGCGGCCUACUGGGCACCAACUGACGCUGAGGCUCGAAAGUGUGGGUAGCAAACAGGAUUAGAUACCCUGGUAGUCCACACCGUAAACGAUGAUUACUAGGUGUUGGAGGAUUGACCCCUUCAGUGCCGCAGUUAACACAAUAAGUAAUCCACCUGGGGAGUACGACCGCAAGGUUGAAACUCAAAGGAAUUGACGGGGGCCCGCACAA
rnacentral:rRNA from 1 species